rnacentral:lncRNA from 1 species
AAGUGGUUUCCAUUGGAAUUUAUAGUUUGUUUUACUAUAUGAACAUAAUUACUGUAAAUCUUCUACUAAUUCACUGUAAAUCUAUUGCUAAUGAAUUGUAAAUCUACUGGAAAAUCAAGUCUGUUCAUCCAACGACCCCAUGCUCCUUUCUUAUUCUGGUUUCUUAUUGUUCUUGCAAAGGGGGGAGGGCUAGUGAAAGGGAUGCAUAAGUUUUCUUGCCCUGCAAGUCCAACUCUCCUUGGUAUACUAUUUCUGGAGAUUGUUGUGAAAUUGUUGUUAUAUUGUUUAGCCCUGCCCCCAUCCUCCAAGAUCUAAUAUGCAUGUUUCCAUGCUGUAUAUUUUCUUUGCUAAACUGUUUGUUGUGGUUAAUAGUGAGGCCGUGAUAUUUGGUAUUCUGAACAUUCGUUUGAUAUGUAUGCCGCACUUUUCAACUCAUGUCAUGUUUAAUUAUUGAUGAUAUAUAUUUGCAGAUAUUUUGCCUAACUUCAAGAUGAGUGUUCUCCCUUUUAUACAAGUGAAGUCAGGCUGAAGAUAUUCAAAGAAGGGAUAACAUAUUUUUGUAUAAAAAGUUAUGUAUUGAUAGUUGGGUUAUGUGCAUGAUGUAAACUCUCGAAUUUCAUAUAUCUUCUCUCUGUUUCUAAAUGAAAUAUUUUCUAAAUGAAAUAUUGUAUAUUUCUGAAUUACAAUUGUUCCGUUUUGUUUAUAAUAGUGAUUAUGUAUGUGAUUUGAAAAUAAAAGAGGCUGGAAUUGUUUGACAAAAUACAAAAUUUAUGGUGUGGAUUCGAAUUUUGAGGUCAGAAUGACAUGUGGGACCAAUCUGACUAGUGGGACCAGUACAAAAAUAAAAUGGCCAAAAAACAAAAUCAAUAGAAAGUAAAAG